GGCUCGUUCGUCUAAUGGUUAGGACAGCGGCUUUUCAAGCCGUCAAUAGGGGUUCGAUUCCCCUACGGGCUACCA
rnacentral:tRNA from 1 species